UCUGAAGGGACAGUCACACACCACCCCCUCCCAGCAACGCCCACGCUGCAAUGCCAGGGCUGGGGGGAGGGGGCCAGUGCUAAGGAAGUCCUUCCCCAGGAUGGAGUGCUGCCUAACAAGGGUACCAGCUUGUAGGAGUGGCCAACGCCUUGGGAUACUUGGAUAUGUUAUGCAAAUGAGCAGAUUUGCAUAUCCACAGGCAGGUCAGCUGAAGCAAGGAAGCGUUGUGCAUUUGCAUAUGAUUUGCAUGUCACUGUAAUACCCGGCUUUGUGUGGGUUCAGCACUGGAGAAGCCAACUCUGUCUCUGCUGCCUGAAGCCCUGCACAGCAUGACUGUCCCCCAGCUGGUUGGGCGCUGGGCUUGUGGGGCAGUCUGGGGCCCCCCAGAGAGCCUACCAUGCCAGGCAGAGCUGAGUCCCAGCAGGCCCUAAGGCUAGAGGCCUGCUGCUUUGCUUGGUCUGGCCCUGCCCCAUGGCUGGGCAUGGAAUCCCCUCCCCUUAGGGCUUGGGAAGAGCCGGCUCUCAGGAAAUCAAGGCCUGGCCACAGCUGGCUGGACAUGCUCUGCCAGCGGGUGCCCCCAGGUGCACCUUCAUCACAACAUGUGCAGCCCUGGAAACACAAAGGCAGGAAUUUGGAGUCAGUGCCAGGAUGGUGGGUGUGGGCAGGAGCUUGAUGGUCUCCCACCCAUUCAUUUACAACCUUUCCUGGCCCUGGCCCUGGCCCUGGCCCUUUGUCCUGUACUCCCUUCUUUCCCUCCAUCCUUCCCCAUGGCCCGUCCGCCUGUCCAGCUCCACAUGCGCCUCUCCCCACAGGCUGCUUCCUCCCGCUGCCUUGCAAAAGAAGAGCUGGGAAUGGGGAGAUGGCCAGGGUUGGGGUAACCCUACCCUUCCUUCCAUCUCCAUGUGCAAACGCAAGAUGAUAUGGUCCAGACUGUUGUCUUCCCCCCUCCCAACCCACCGUCUGCUAGCGCCACAGCGUGGCCCUCGCCCAGGUGGCUGAAGGAUUAAUUGGCAGUAGUAGUAGGUUAUUAGCCUCUGUGUGACCAGCUAUGGAGAAGUGGCAGAUGCUUUGCUGGAAGUUUGCACAGACAUUAGCAAAAUAGCAGCAGAAAUCUGGGAGCCAGGACUCUUGGCAUCUCUGCUCAGUGAGGGAGGGAAGUGGUGGCUAGUGGUUACAGCAGAUGACUGGGAGCCAGACUCCUGGGUUCUCUCCCUGGCUCUUGGAGUGGGGUGGGGUCUGGUGGGUUACAGGGAUGUGCGGAGGAGUUAGGACUCCAGCUGUGUGCUGCCCCCCAUCCUAUGUGAUGCUGGCAGGCCUUAGGCUGCAUUCCAUUGGAGAUGGAGGGGAUGCAGAGGGGAAUUCAAUAGCCUGCUAUGUCCAACAAUGACCACUGGGUGGCAGCACUGCGCUACCACAGCCCUUUCUGCUUCUCCCUCUUUUGGGGCCUGGCCACUUCCCAGUGUGAAGGGACCCCCCAGUCCCCCCACAUUGUCUGUGCUGGGAUGGGGGUGGAAGUUGUACUCUGCCUGCAGGGCUGAAUCCCCCUGGGGCUCAGGGUGGCUUGUUCUCCAUGGGACCGGUCCUCUGCUCCCCACUAGUGUGAGGGCCUCCUGCCCUGUACUCUGGGCAUGGGAUCAACGGGGUGCCCUGCCCUUGCAGCCCCCGCCGGGAGCAGCACCAUGUGCGCCCAGUGCCCUGUGGACACACCACCAGACAGCCUGUGGCCUGGCUCUGCAGGGGAGGGGUGUGUGGCUGACCAGAGCCCUGGGGCGGGCUCAGAUGUGUUACAGCAGUGCAGCCCCUGGGAGCAAAGCGGGAAUCGGUCAGACUGGACCCAAGCAAAGACCUGGCAGCUCUGAGCAUUUCUGCCAGCAACGCUGGCGCCCCAGAGCCUGGAGUCACGGAGUGGCUUGUGCUGCUUAGAAAUCAAACCCGUGUCUGGGCGUCGUGGCUGUGUGCUGAACCCCAUGGCCAUGCAGGCCCUAAGCCAACCCCCCAGUGAGUCAAACUAGGCAGAUUUUAACCUCUCCAGGCUUUUUUUCAAGUCAAUGAGGUGCCCUCGCAGGCCCUGGCAUGUGGGGUCACAAUGCGUGGCCGUGGCAAUGUCCCCCACGGGUUCCCAGAUGAGUAGGAAGAUGGCCUUACCCUGUGGCCUGCCCUGAAGAGGAGGUGCCUGUUCUGGUGCCCAUGUGGCUGAAGGGUGAUGGAGGAAUGGGCGAGGCUGAAGCAGCACUCUGCAAGAUGUGCGAGGAGCCCCGCUGCACCGCAUGCCCUAUAUGCACUCUCCCUACGAACGCCCAGCCUGGAAUCCCCGCUUCUGCAUAAUCUCGGGAAACCAGCUGCUUAUGCUAGACGAGGACGAGAUACACCCAUUGCUGAUGAGGGAACGGCGAAGCGAACCCUGCCGGACCAAGCUGCUACGACGCACGGUCAGCGUCCCUGUGGAGGGGCGGCCCCACCCUGAGCACGGUAUGGCAAGGGGCAGAGACUGGAGGCUGGGGGUGCUGCAUUGGGUGGGGCAGGGUUGUUGGGGUCCAGGGUGCAGAUGU